rnacentral:tRNA from 1 species
GCCUAGGUGGCUGAGUCGGUUGAGUGUCUGACUUCAGCUCAGGUCAUGAUCUCAUGGUUCGUGGGUUCAAGCCCCACAUCAGGCU